rnacentral:rRNA from 1 species
UAGACGAAUCAUCUGGAAAGAUGAAUCAAAGAAGGUAAUAAUCCUGUAGUCGAAAAUGUUGUCUCUCUUGAGUGGAUCCUGAGUACGACGGAGCACGUGAAAUUCCGUCGGAAUCUGGGAGGACCAUCUCCUAAGGCUAAAUACUCUCUAGUGACCGAUAGUGAACCAGUACCGUGAGGGAAAGGUGAAAAGCACCCCGGAAGGGGAGUGAAAUAGAACCUGAAACCGUGUGCUUACAAGUAGUCAGAGCCCGUUAAUGGGUGAUGGCGUGCCUUUUGUAGAAUGAACCGGCGAGUUACGAUUUGAUGCAAGGUUAAGCAGUAAAUGUGGAGCCGUAGCGAAAGCGAGUCUGAAUAGGGCGUUUAGUAUUUGGUCGUAGACCCGAAACCAGGUGAUCUACCCUUGGUCAGGUUGAAGUUCAGGUAACACUGAAUGGAGGACCGAACCGACUUACGUUGAAAAGUGAGCGGAUGAACUGAGGGUAGCGGAGAAAUUCCAAUCGAACCUGGAGAUAGCUGGUUCUCUCCGAAAUAGCUUUAGGGCUAGCCUCAAGUGAUGAUUAUUGGAGGUAGAGCACUGUUUGGACGAGGGGCCCCUCUCGGGUUACCGAAUUCAGACAAACUCCGAAUGCCAAUUAAUUUAACUUGGGAGUCAGAACAUGGGUGAUAAGGUCCGUGUUCGAAAGGGAAACAGCCCAGACCACCAGCUAAGGUCCCAAAAUAUAUGUUAAGUGGAAAAGGAUGUGGCGUUGCCCAGACAACUAGGAUGUUGGCUUAGAAGCAGCCAUCAUUUAAAGAGUGCGUAAUAGCUCACUAGUCGAGUGACACUGCGCCGAAAAUGUACCGGGGCUAAACAUAUUACCGAAGCUGUGGAUUGUCCUUUGGACAAUGGUAGGAGAGCGUUCUAAGGGCGUUGAAGCAUGAUCGUAAGGACAUGUGGAGCGCUUAGAAGUGAGAAUGCCGGUGUGAGUAGCGAAAGACGGGUGAGAAUCCCGUCCACCGAUUGACUAAGGUUUCCAGAGGAAGGCUCGUCCGCUCUGGGUUAGUCGGGUCCUAAGCUGAGGCCGACAGGCGUAGGCGAUGGAUAACAGGUUGAUAUUCCUGUACCACCUAUAAUCGUUUUAAUCGAUGGGGGGACGCAGUAGGAUAGGCGAAGCGUGCGAUUGGAUUGCACGUCUAAGCAGUAAGGCUGAGUAUUAGGCAAAUCCGGUACUCGUUAAGGCUGAGC